GAUGAACGCUGGCGGCGUGCUUAACACAUGCAAGUCGAACGAAGCAUUUCAUAUGAAGUUUUCGGAUGGAAUAUGAAAUGACUUAGUGGCGGACGGGUGAGUAACGCGUGGGUAACCUGCCUUAUACAGGGGGAUAACAGUUGGAAACGACUGCUAAUACCGCAUAAGCGCACAGUAUCACAUGAUACAGUGUGAAAAGAUUUAUCGGUAUAAGAUGGACCCGCGUCUGAUUAGCUAGUUGGUGAGGUAACGGCCCACCAAGGCGACGAUCAGUAGCCGGCUUGAGAGAGUGAACGGCCACAUUGGGACUGAGACACGGCCCAAACUCCUACGGGAGGCAGCAGUGGGGAAUAUUGCACAAUGGGGGAAACCCUGAUGCAGCGACGCCGCGUGAGUGAAGAAGUAUUUCGGUAUGUAAAGCUCUAUCAGCAGGGACGAUAAUGACGGUACCUGACUAAGAAGCCCCGGCUAACUACGUG
rnacentral:rRNA from 1 species